CGGACGGGUGAGUAAUGUCUGGGAAACUGCCUGAUGGAGGGGGGUAACUACUGGAAACGGUAGCUAAUACCGCAUAACGUCGCAAGACCAAGAGGGGGACCUUAGGGCCUCUUGCCAUCGGAUGUGCCCAGAUGGGAUUAGCUAGUAGGUGGGGUAAAGGCUCACCUAGGCGACGAUCCCUAGCUGGUCUGAGAGGAUGACCAGCCACACUGGAACUGAGACACGGUCCAG
rnacentral:rRNA from 1 species